rnacentral:rRNA from 1 species
AACGAACGCUGGCGGCAGGCUUAACACAUGCAAGUCGAACGCCCCGCAAGGGGAGUGGCAGACGGGUGAGUAACGCGUGGGAAUCUACCUAGUUCUACGGAACAACAGUUGGAAACGACUGCUAAUACCGUAUACGCCCUAUGGGGGAAAGAUUUAUCGGAAUUAGAUGAGCCCGCGUAAGAUUAGCUAGUUGGUGGGGUAAUGGCCUACCAAGGCGACGAUCUUUAGCUGGUCUGAGAGGAUGAUCAGCCACACUGGGACUGAGACGCGGCCCAGACUCCUACGGGAGGCAGCAGUGGGGAAUAUUGGACAAUGGGCGCAAGCCUGAUCCAGCCAUGCCGCGUGAGUGAUGAAGGCCUUAGGGUUGUAAAGCUCUUUCACCGAUGAAGAUAAUGACGGUAGUCGGAGAAGAAGCCCCGGCUAACUUCGUGCCAGCAGCCGCAGUAACAC